rnacentral:lncRNA from 1 species
GCUAUAUACAGUAGAGAGGCUAUAUACAGUAGAGGCUAUAUACAGUAGAGAGGCUAUAUACAGUAGAGAGGCUAUAUACAGUAGAGAGGCUAUAUACAGUAGAGAGGCUAUAUACAGUAGAGAGGAUAUAUACAGUAGAGAGGCUAUAUACAGUAGAGAGGUUAUAUACAGUAGAGGCUAUAUACAGUAGAGGCUAUAUACAGUAGAGAGGUUAUAUACAGUAGAGAGGCUAUAUACAGUAGAGAGGCUAUAUACAGUAGAGAGAGGCUAUAUACAGUAGAGAGGCUAUAUACAGUAGAGAGGCUAUAUACAGUAGAGAGGCUAUAUACAGUAGAGAGGCUAUAUACAUAGAGAGGCUAUAUACAGUAGAGAGGCUAUAUACAGUAGAGAGGCUAUAUACAGUAGAGAGGCUAUAUACAGUAGAGAGGUUAUAUACAGUAGAGAGGUUAUAUACAGUAGAGGGGCUAUAUACAGUAGAGACUAUAUACAGUAGAGAGGCUAUAUACAGCAGAGAACCUAUAUACAGUAGAGGCUAUAUACAGUAGAGAGGCUACAUACAGACACCGGUUAGUCAGGCUGAUUGAGGUAGUAUGUACAUGUAGAUAUGGUUAAAGUGACUAUGCAUAUAGGAUGAACAGAGAGUAGCAGUAGCGUAAAAGAGGGGUUGGCGGGUGGUGGGACACAUUGCAGAUGGGACGGUUAACCAAUGUGCGGGAGCACUGGUUGGUCGGCCCAAUUGAGGUAGUAUGUACAUUAAUAUAUAGUUAAAGUGACUAUGCAUAUAGGAUGAACAGAGAGUAGCAGCAGCGUAAAACGAUG